CCUCAACCUUCCAGAGGGCUGGGAUUACAGAGAAAUAGAAGACAUCCCUUGUUGCAUUGCUGCCCUGCUUCAAGACAUAGCAGAUCUGCAUUUCAUCAAUGUCAGCUGCAAAAAAAAAAAAAAA